rnacentral:rRNA from 1 species
ACAUGCAAGUCGAGGGGCAUCGGGAUGUAGCAAUACAUUGCCGGCGACCGGCGCACGGGUGAGUAACACGUAUCCAACCUGCCUUUUACUCGGGGAUAGGCUUUCGAAAGAAAGAUUAAUACCCGAUGGCAUAAUCUUCCGCAUGGUAGAAUUAUUAAAGAAUUUCGGUCAUCAAUGGGGAUGCGUUCCAUUAGGUUGUUGGCGGGGUAACGGCCCACCAAGCCUUCGAUGGAUAGGGGUUCUGAGAGGAAGGUCCCCACAUUGGAACUGAGACACGGUCCAAACUCC